AUUGAACGCUGGCGGCAUGCCUAACACAUGCAAGUCGAACGGUUUAUGGAGCUUGCUUCAUAGAUAGUGGCGGACGGGUGAGUAAUAUGUAGGAAUCUGCCUUGAGGAGGGGGAUAACUUGGGGAAACUCAAGCUAAUACCGCGUAAGUCGGAGACGAGAAAGCAGGGGAACGAAAGGCCUUGUGCCUUAAGAUGAGCCUACAUCGGAUUAGCUAGUUGGUGGGGUAAAGGCCUACCAAGGCGAUGAUCCGUAGCUGGUCUGAGAGGAUGACCAGCCACACUGGGACUGAGACACGGCCCAGACUCCUACGGGAGGCAGCAGUGGGGAAUAUUGGACAAUGGGGGAAACCCUGAUCCAGCAAUGCCGCGUGUGUGAAGAAGGCCUUCGGGUUGUAAAGCACUUUCAGUGGGGAAGAAGGAUGUAUGGUUAAUACCCAUGCAUUUUGACGUUAACCACAGAAGAAGCACCGGCUAACUCUGUGCCAGCCGCCGCAGUAA
rnacentral:rRNA from 1 species